UGUCAGCUACACAUGCCAUAGAACACCUUGUGCUGUUUCUAAAGACUGGGAAUAGUGUCCAGGGACAUUUAGAUGCCAUUGCCCAGACUCGUCAGCCGUACCUUCUCGCUAUUGGAACGUCUAGAACCAACCUCCAUGGUUUUUUCAUCGUCAUAGACCGGAUCGCCAUCCCACGCCGAGCAACAUCUUCACUCGGGGCCUUUGAUGAGCUAUUCAAAGCCCAUUUUGUCUUUGUUCCUCAGUAACAUGUACACGUUCAUUCAGACCACCGUUUUCAAUAUUGAUGUUGGACUAGUCAAAGAAAAUCCUCGUGUCAUUGAGCUCCGAUCAAGAUUUCUGCAGUAGCCCCGAUAGACUUUUUUUGAAUUAUUUUGUGUAAUUUUGAUUACAUUAACAUGAUUUGUUUCAUUUGCAAGUCCCGUCAUUCCAACACAAAUGUGUUGGUGAGACAUCUAAAAUGAAUGCAUGGACUAUGUCCUGGAAGGACGCUCAGAUUAAAAUGUGGUGAAGCUGGGUGUGCACACGUUUCUGGAACCUUUUCUGGAUUUCGUAAACAUAUGAAAAGGGUGCACGAGCAGAGUGCUCUUAAUGUUGAAGUUUUGGAUAUUAACCAUCGUCAUGGAAGUAAUGACUUGUUAGUAGAUGUUAAUGCAGAAGUUCCUGUUAUGCAACCUAAUCUACUUGUUUCACGCACCAGUUCAUCUCUGUUGAAAAGUGGAGAGUAUGUUCACAAUAUGUGUGCUUCUGUUGUGGCAGAGCUUCAAUCUGUCGGGAUUGGACAAGAAAAUGUACAUAACCUAGUUUGCUCUUUGGAGGAAGUUGUUAACGGGAUACAGGAUCAGAUUAAGGAAACCAUUUUAAGUUGUUUAAGUGAGGAAAAAACUGUUGAGAAAGUUGAGCAAACAUUAGGUCAUCUUGACACUCCAUUUACACAAUUGAAUUCUGUGGAGAAGCGACGCAAGUAUUUUUCUAAGAAAUGGGGUGUAGUCGCUCCUGUAAAGAAAGCGAUAGGUUCCAGGUUUGACAACAGAUGGAAUAAAAACACUGGCACAUUUGA